UACGUAGGGUGCGAGCGUUGUCCGGAAUUACUGGGCGUAAAGCGCGCGUAGGCGGCUUUGUAAGUUAGAGGUGAAAGCCCGGAGCUCAACUCCGGAAUAGCCUUUAAGACUGCAUCGCUAGAACGUUGGAGAGGUAAGUGGAAUUCCGAGUGUAGAGGUGAAAUUCGUAGAUAUUCGGAAGAACACCAGUGGCGAAGGCGACUUACUGGACAACUGUUGACGCUGAGGUGCGAAAGCGUGGGGAGCAAACAGG
rnacentral:rRNA from 1 species